rnacentral:rRNA from 1 species
AGAGUUUGAUCCUGGCUCAGGAUAAACGCUGGCGGCGUGCGUAACACAUGCAAGUUGAGCGACGGAAGUUUGAACCAGCGAUGGGAAUGACCUUACGGAGCAGCGGACGGGUGAGUAAAAGAUGAGAAGCUGUCCAUCAGCGAGGGACAACAGAGGGAAACUUCUGCUAAUACCUCAUAGGCUGAAAGGUUAAAGCAGUAAUGCACUGAUGGAGGUGCUCGUAACCUAUCAACUAGUUGGCGGUGUAACGGACCACCAAGGUAACGACGGGUAGCCGGCCUGAGAGGGUGUCCGGCCACACUGGGACUGAGAUACGGCCCAGACUCCUGCGGGAGGCAGCAGUGGGGAAUAUUGGGCAAUGGGAGAAAUCCUGACCCAGCGACGCCGCGUGAAUGAUGAAGGCCUUAGGGUCGUAAAGUUCUUUUAUGUGAGAAGAAUAAAAUGACGGUAUCACAUGAAUAAGCCCCGGCUAACUACGUGCCAGCAGCCGCGGUAAUACGUAGGGGGCGAGCGUUGUUCGGAAUUACUGGGCGUAAAGGGCGCGCAGGCUGUUCAAUAAGUCAGCUGUUAAAUCGUGUGGCUUAACCAUAUGAUGCAGUUGAAACUAUCGGACUGGAGUAUCGGAGAGGUAAGCGGAAUUCCCAGUGUAGCGGUGAAAUGCGUAGAUAUUGGGAAGAACAUCGGUGGCGAAGGCGGCUUACUGGCCGAAAACUGACGCUGAGGCGCGAAAGCCAGGGUAGCAAACGGGAUUAGAUACCCCGGUAGUCCUGGCGGUAAACGAUGAAUGUUAGGUGUGCGUGCAGAGAUGCAGGUGUGCCGCAGCAAACGCGAUAAACAUUCCGCCUGGGGAGUACGGUCGCAAGAUUGAAACUCAAAGGAAUUGACGGGGGCCCGCACAAGCGGUGGAGCACGUGGUUUAAUUCGAUGCAAA